rnacentral:rRNA from 1 species
UACAGAGGGUGCAAGCGUUGUUCGGAAUUAUUGGGCGUAAAGGGCGCGUAGGCGGUGCUGUAAGUCUGUGGUGAAAUCCCGAGGCUCAACCUCGGGUCUGCAGUCGAUACGGGCGGACUGGAGUUCGGCAGGGGAGACUGGAAUUCCUGGUGUAGCGGUGAAAUGCGCAGAUAUCAGGAGGAACACCGGUGGCGGAGGCGGGUCUCUGGGCCGAUACUGACGCUGAGGAGCGAAAGCGUGGGGAGCGAACAGG